rnacentral:rRNA from 1 species
AGCAGCCGCGGUAAUUCCAGCUCCAAUAGCGUAUAUUAAAGUUGUUGCAGUUAAAAAGCUCGUAGUUGAAUUUCGGGGUUAGUAGGUUGGUCGUGCCACUGGUAUGUACUGGCUCUACUGAUCCCUCCUUCUUGUAGAACCGUAAUGCCAUUAACUUGGUGUUGCGGGGAAACAGGACUGUUACUUUGAAAAAAUUAGAGUGUUUGAAGCAGGCUAACGCUUGAAUACAUUAGCAUGGAAUAAUGAAAUAGGACGCUCGAUCCUAUUUUGUUGGUUUCUAGGAUUGACGUAAUGAUUAAUAGGGAUAGUUGGGGGCAUUAGUAUUCAAUUGUCAGAGGUGAAAUUCUUGGAUUUAUUGAAGACUAACUACUGCGAAAGCAUUUGCCAAGGAUGUUUUCAUUAAUCAAGAACGAAAGUUAGGGGAUCGAAGACGAUCAGAUACCGUCGUAGUCUUAACCAUAAACUAUGCCGACUAGGGAUCGGAUGAUGUUAAUUUUUAUGUACUUCAUUCGGCGCCUUA